rnacentral:pre_miRNA from 1 species
GGGGGAGGCCGGAUCCUGGGCUGUGUCCCCAGUGCCCUGUGCUCCCAGGCCUGCGCUGCUGGAUUCGCGCUCCCCACCGUGCAGCCCCAU